rnacentral:rRNA from 1 species
UGCCUUUUGGUCGGGGACUACCACUGGAAACGGUGGCUAAUACCGGAUGUGCCUACGGGUGAAAGAUUUAUUGCCAAAAGAGGAGCUCGCGUCUGAUUAGCUAGUUGGUGGGGUAAAGGCUUACCAAGGCAGCGAUCAAUAGCUGGUCUGAGAGGACGAUCAGUCACACUGGGACUGUGACACGGCCCAGACUCUUACGGGAGGCAGCAGUGGGGAAUUUUCCGCAAUGGGCGAAAGCCUGACGGAGCAAUACCGCGUGAGGGAGGAAGGCUCUUGGGUCGUAAACCUCUUUUGUCAGGGAAGAACACAAUGACGGUACCUGACGAAUCAGCAUCGGCUAACUCCGUGCCAGCAGCCGCGGUAAUACGGAGGAUGCAAGCGUUAUCCGGAAUUAUUGGGCGUAAAGCGUGCGCAGGUGGCUUGUCAAGUCUGCUGUCAAAGACU